rnacentral:lncRNA from 1 species
GCAAAGAGCUGCAGCCUGAGCUGCUGACGAGGUUUAGGGCGUGGGAGAGAAAGGAAAAAUCCUCAUAUCCAUAAAGACAGCUCCCAAAAUCCCAGAAGACCCUCCCGGACAAAUCCUUCCUGCCUCGUCGUAUUGUUGUCUGUCUUUCGUUCUCAGAGAAGACCAUCACAAGGGUGAUGUCUUAAGGGCCCGGUCCCUCCACAGACCCUCCUCAGAGAGUGAUCUAACUGUACCUGCCCAGGGUGUACCCCUAAGGUUCUGUCCUGGGCUAAGGAAAGAAAGAAAGGAAGAAAGAAAGGAAGGAAGGAAGGAAAGGAGAGAGAGAAGAGAGAAGAAAGGAG